rnacentral:rRNA from 1 species
UACGGAGGGUGCAAGCGUUUGUCCGGAUUUAUUGGGUUUAAAGGGUGCGUAGGCGGCCCUGUAAGUCAGUGGUGAAAUACUGCAGCUUAACUGUAGCAUUGCCAUUGAUACUGUAGGGCUUGAGUACAGAUGAGGUAGGCGGAAUUGAUGGUGUAGCGGUGAAAUGCAUAGAUAUUGUCAAGAACACCAAUUGCGAAGGCAGCUUACUAAGUUAUAACUGACGCUGAGGCACGAAAAGUGCGGGGAUCAAACAGG